rnacentral:snRNA from 1 species
AGUACAAGUCACAGUACCUCCUU